rnacentral:rRNA from 1 species
AUUGAACGCUGGCGGCAGGCCUAACGCAUGCAAGUCGAGCGGUAACACAGGGAGCUUGCUCCCGGGUGACGAGCGGCGGACGGGUGAGUAAUGUCUGGGAAACUGCCUGAUGGAGGGGGAUAACUACUGGAAACGGUAGCUAAUACCGCAUAAUGUCGCAAGACCAAAGAGGGGGACCUUCGGGCCUCUUGCCAUCAGAUGUGCCCAGAUGGGAUUAGCUAGUAGGUGGGGUAACGGCUCACCUAGGCGACGAUCCCUAGCUGGUCUGAGAGGAUGACCAGCCACACUGGAACUGAGACACGGUCCAGACUCCUACGGGAGGCAGCAGUGGGGAAUAUUGCACAAUGGGCGCAAGCCUGAUGCAGCCAUGCCGCGUGUAUGAAGAAGGCCUUCGGGUUGUAAAGUACUUUCAGCGGGGAGGAAGGUGUUGAGGUUAAUAACCUCAGCAAUUGACGUUACCCGCAGAAGAAGCACCGGCUAACUCCGUGCCAGCCGCCGCUGUAAAAC